UACGAAGGGUGCAAACGUUGCUCGGAAUUAUUGGGCGUAAAGCGCACGUAGGCGGCUUUGCAAGUCGGAUGUGAAAUCCCUCGGCUUAACCAAGGAAGUGCAUCCGAAACUGCAGAGCUUGAGUACUUAAGAGGAUCGCGGAAUUCCCGGUGUAGAGGUGAAAUUCGUAGAUAUCGGGAGGAACACCAGUGGCGAAGGCGGCGAUCUGGGAAGAUGCUGACGCUGAGGUGCGAAAGCGUGGGGAGCAAACAGG
rnacentral:rRNA from 1 species